CCCUUAGAUGUUCUGGGCUGCACGCGCGCUACACUGAAGCGUUCAACGAGUAUUCACCUUGCCCGGGAGGGUUGGGUAAUCUUUUGAAAACGCUUCGUGAUGGGGAUAGAUUAUUGCAAUUAUUAAUCUUCAACGAGGAAUUCCUAGUAAGCGCGAGUCAUCAGCUCGUGCUGAUUACGUCCCUGCCCUUUGUACACACCGCCCGUCGCACCUACCGAUUGAAUGGUCCGGUGAAAACCUCGGAUUCUUGUUUGAUUCUAGCAAUAGAGACUUACGGGAAGAAGUCGUUUAAACCUUACCAUUUAGAGGAAGGUGAANUCGUANCA
rnacentral:rRNA from 1 species